UACGUAGGGUGCAAGCGUUGUCCGGAAUUAUUGGGCGUAAAGAGCUCGUAGGCGGUUUGUCGCGUCGAAUGUGAAAUCCCGGGGCUCAACCCCGGGCCUGCAUUCGAUACGGGCAGACUAGAGUUCGGUAGGGGAGUCUGGAAUUCCUGGUGUAGCGGUGAAAUGCGCAGAUAUCAGGAGGAACACCAAUGGCGAAGGCAGCUCGCUGGAACGGUACUGACGCUGAGGCGCGAAAGCGUGGAGAGCGAACAGG
rnacentral:rRNA from 1 species